GGAACUCGGGUUUGAGAGAAGAGAUAUGGUUCCAUGCACCAUUGUUAAGUUGAAGCUUCAAGGUAGGUUUCAAUUAAACUCAAAAUUUUACGUUAAAAUCUAUUGAGUAUCGCCCAACUUUGUUGUAAAUAGUUUGUAGGACUGCAGUGCAUUUAACACUCUUUCAAAAUUGAUUUUCAUUAACAAGACAUCAUCGUAUGUCACAUGUAUAUCUUGUAUAUAUAUCCUGUGUAAGUCAUUUUUUAAUCUUGUGUAUACCAUGUGUAUAUAUCAUGCGUAUAUCUUGUAUAUAUAUAUUCUGUGUAUCUCUUGCGUAUCUAUAUUAUAUACCUGACAUAUAAACAUUGAUAUACAAGUGAUACACAUGGGAAUGUUCUUAUUCGACUGAAAUUUCGACCCAAUACAAAUUUUGGAAGUAGAGUACUACUAUAAGCUAUUUUUAAAUAUAAGUUUUAUUUUAUAUAUGGAUCCCAAUUUUCUAACAAUUUGCCUUGAUAAAGUCUUUGCGGUUUGUAUGUGAUAAUUUUAGCUGGUGACAGUACUAUAGUCUAUAGUAUAUCCUUUAGAAAUGUGUAUAAUGGGUUGCAUGUUCACAAUUGAGGUAUACCAAGCCCCUCUCUAAUAGACCAAGAGGGAGGAACUUUAGAAAAAUAUUUUUGAUUUUUUCAAAUUUCAGAAUAUGUUUUGGUAAUUUAAAAUAUAUAGUGAAUUACUCGUGUAUAAUAUUGAUUGUGUUUAUGACAUAAUUGGACGGAUUCAUGGAAGAAUUGAUUUCCUAUAGUUAGUUAAUGAAUAGGUCUUGUCUACUAGGAAAAUAUAAUCAAAACGUGGGUUUAUGUGUGAAUUGGACGGAUUGGAUUAAAGCAAAAAUAUAUGAACUUCAUUUAUAUGUAAACUUCAGAUAAUAUUUCUGUGUGAAAAUUGAUUUUGUCAAUUCUAACUUUAAAAAUCAUGUAUUUGAAGCGAUGAAUAUAUAUUAAAUAAGGAUAUAAAAAUAGCCGGUCUCGUAAAAUUUUGGAAAAAUUACAUAAUUAAACAUACUUCACUAUUGAGAAAAUGAUCAAAAUGGUCUUAAUGUAUAAGGGUUGAAUAAUAUUGGUCCUUCAUAUAUACUACCUUAUUGAAAUAGUCCUUAAUGUAUAUAAAAAGAUGAUCAUUUUGGUCCUAACCCUAAAACUAACCAUAAAAGUUAAAAAUUCUGUUAACUCCUUGAAAUUAACAUGUGAAAGUAUCAUUUCUCCCUCAAUCUUCUUUCUUCUUCUUUUUUGGUCAGACUCGAUCUUCUUUCUUCAUCUAUUCUUCUUUCUAUUAACAAAACCCACUUUUACUCACAAUUUUUUUUCAAAUUUCAUAAAGAUAUUUUUAAUAUUCUAUUUUCUACCCUCGUUCAUUCAAAUUAUUUGAACAUUAGAACAAAACAAGUAAAUACAUUGAAAAAUAUUAAUUUUUAAAAAGGGAGAAUACCAAUAUUCUUCCCGUAUAGAGCUUCCACAUGAGAGAAUAGUUGGUUAAAGCUUAAAAUAGUUGACUUAUGACAAUCUCAGAGGAAGAAUAAAGUAUUUUAUCUACUUUACUUAGUUCACAUUUGUAUUAAUGGUCUCGUUUUUUUUACAUUUUUGUAUGGAAAUGUGAGUUGCUGGAAAUUUUGUUUAGCGGGAGAUAAGAAAUGGGUGUAAUGUUAUUUUUCUUGCAAGGAUAUUGCAGGUGGUGGAUUGAGGAUACAGAAUGAGCUUUAAUGGUGAAAGAAAGAAGAUUGAGGGAGAAGGGCUAGUAGUCACCGGACCCGCAAUUUAACAGAAUUUUUAACUUUCAUGGUUAGUUUUAGGGUUAAAGACCAAAAUGAUCUCUUUUAACAUACAUUAAGGACUAUUUUAAUGUGAUAGUAUAUAUGAAGGACCAAAAUUAUUCAACCCUUAUACAUCAAGUACCAUUUUGAUCAUUUUCUCAUCAUAUAUACUACUAUUAUCUAUACUUUGAAAAUAUUACGUAUCUUACCAUUAAUUAAGAGUUUCCUACAUAUUUUACACUUAGAUACAUGUAAUUUUUGCAAUUAGAUACACAAAAAUAGUGAGAGAGGCGAGCGAGAUUCGUAUGUAUCCCAGAUACAUGUGAAUCACACUAGAUACACACUACAUACAUGUAUCUGUAUGUCUCUAAAGUGAUUCACAUGUAUAUGAGAUGCCAGAUACAUGGGAGAGUAGCGAGCGAGAUGAGAGAGACGAUGGAGGUGAACGAGAUUUGCUAUGUAUCCCAGAUACAUGCUAAUCCACUUGGAUACAAUGAAUC
rnacentral:lncRNA from 1 species